ensembl:lncRNA
CUCAGGAAAUGCUUUGUUGUUGUAUGUAAGGCUGAAAGCACGUCAAGAAGUCAGUGAGUGUGUUAGACAGCAAGAACGAUGACAGUGUUUAAGACACGUGGGUGUUUGCUAGCAGCAAUCAGGAUUAUCUUUUUAACUGAGUUUUUGCUGACAGGUGUGAGAGGAGACGGCCCAGAGUCAAAAACAUUAGAUAUUAAGUACGUUUUGAUCGGAGGUGGGAUCGGCCUGUUGUUAGUUGCUGUAUUCAUUAUAACAAAGAUCUGCAUUAUUAGGAAGCAAGUGAGUCAAAACAAUGCAGAUGUCAACAUGAGAAGAUUUUCAGAGCCUCAGUUGCACUCUUUGAGCCAUCUCAGCCAAUCAGAACGCUCCGAUGCAGCGGUGUCCAGAGGCGUGUGAUGACAGAGGUCCGGCACAGUGACGAGCCCGAUGCUGUGAACCCUGCAAAAAGUGAAACAUCAACCUGGUGGCCUUUUUUUGUUCUUUUGUUUUUUUUGCUUUUCAGUGUUGGAAUUGUUGCAGAAUUUCAACAUUGAGUUUUACCUCUUUUACUUUCUCUGUAACAUUUGUUAUAAUUGUGUUCAUAAAAAAAUAUCUAAAGAAGAUUUGCUUUGUGCUUUUGUUGUGUUUUAUUUGUCUGUGGAAAGUUGGUGUGCUUUAAAGGUCUUAUAAAUAGGUUCAGAUCAUUUAUAGGCUCCACUGACACACAAUCUGCACAAAAAUUAUGUAACACCACUCACCAGGAAAGACGCAGCUGGCAGUUUUUCCACAAGGGGGCGAUGUUUGCCAGCAACCACUGUAGAGCCUUUCAGUACUGCACUCGAGUGGCUGGGUAAUAACAAAUAAUAAAAAGUAAUGAAAUUAUAAUGAUGAAAUGCUGUUUCUGAGCUUUCACUUGAGUUCUGGCAUUCUAGUUGCUUGAAUUUAAUCACACUACAUCGCCAAGAUUUGCCCAAUUCAGGGUUGCAAAGGAGGGAAGAGACUAUCCCAGCUGACACUGGGCAAGAGGUGUGCUACAGCGUGGAAAGGAUGUCAGCCUGUCACAGAGUUAACAUAGAAAGACAAUUACAUCUAAAGCCAAUUUGUAGGUAACAGUUAACCUAACAUCCACGUCUCUGGACUGUGGGAGAAAGCCAGAGUAGUCACAGUGAACACUCACAGGCACAGGAAUAUAAAUAAAAUAAUAACAUAUGAUACAUUUGUUUUUGAUCUGCAGAGUAAAACUGAAUAUCUGGCAUGUAUCAUUAUUAUAACAUGUAAAUAUUAAAAUUUUAAACCGUUUAGAUUAUGUAUAAGGCGAAACGUCUUCUACUGUUGCACUCAUUGUGAGCAGGGUUAGUGCUCAGGUUGUAGAUCCAUUACUUUGGCAUUUUUCCAUGUCCAUACUAUAAGAUCCAUAUCACCCAAAUUAGAAGUCUGAGUCUUUUGCCAAGAUUGUGGGAUUGCCUUUUCCAGCUCAGAGACACAUGAAGAACUCAUUAAAAACCCUGUCUAAUAUCCUGGAAACCUUACACACAGACACGAGUAAUAACAUACAGAUGUUGUCAAUCCUGAAGUCACAAUGUUUACUACACAGUCACUGAACUACUUCUGCACUUUCACCCAGAGGAAAACUAGGAACAUCUGGAGCAUUAUGAGAAUAUUGAGCUCUCAUUUCACCUAUUUAUUCAAUACUCUGUAGAAACAUAUCAUUUUUAGACCUGCAGCCCAUGUUUGUGCUCUGUCUGUGUGCUAACUAGCAAAGAACUGGAUCAAAGGGCUGGUGAGUGAAAGGGUUUGUUUGUAGAAACAGACCCACUUUUAUCCGUUUAUCCAUUUUAGGGUCUUUGAGCCCUUUGCUUGUUUUGUUUCUAAA